GAAAGUGCUGGAGAACCGGAAGGACUUUUGUCCACCAGCCAAUCAGAGGACGAGUUUUGUAUCAAUGACGAUGGCGCUUCACACAGACUUAAAUUUCCUCCAGAGAUCAGGAUUUGAGAGUUUGUUUGCGUUGAAAAGAAAGAGAAGAGGAACAGGCAGGGUUUGAGAGGUUGAGGUUUUCAAGAGAAAAGGGAACAAUUCAGUAACAGAACAGUGAAGCUGUGAGUGGUAGAUGGAGAGGGAGGAGGUCUGAGCAGCUGGGAAAAGAAGAGCAAAAAGACUGAUUGGGGAAUCCAACAGUGAGAGAUCCAGAGGCUGUUACUCUUGGGGCUGCCUAUGGAAAUGGGCUGUGGGAAGACCGCCCUCUGAAGGGACUUCAGUCCAACGUCCAGGAGAGGAAAGGAACAGAAUGUAAACAUUGGAAAUACAGAGAGUUGUGGGACUCUGUAACUGGAAUCAGUGUCAUAUGUGCUGAGGGGGGAAAUGCUUGUGAUUUUUGUGGAAGCUGUUUUUAUUGUAUGAGCUAUUUAAAGUGAAAUUUAGCUCUAUUUUUAAAAACAACUUUCUUUUUUAAUGCAUGCCAAAUUUAUGUUGAUUUUAGUUUGAUUGUUACAGUAAAAGUUUUAAAAAGUGAAGCCUUGCCCUUCAGUUUAUUCCGUUGAGGUUGCCUGGGAAUUUGUUUCUUUAUUUUAAGGUUAUCGUUCUCCAUGGGGAUUGUAACAACAGAGAUGUGUCUAGUGUUGUUAUAUGGAACAUAUCAGAUAUGUCAUUUAUGGUUCUGUAGUAAAGUUCAUUCUUUAUUAUUUCUAGUCUUGUAACAUAGUACUGUAGGUUUGUUAUAUAUUUCCAGUCAUAGAGUCAUUCUAGCACAGACAGAGACUAUUGUUUUACUCAAUUCCCUGCCAACUCCCUGUAGAGCGAUCCAGUCAGUCCCAUUCCCCCUCCAAGUCCUGGUAACCCUGCAAGUUUAUUUCCUUCAAGUGUCCAUCCAAUUUAAUUUUGAAAUCAUUGAUUAUCUCCAAUUCCACCAUCCACAUAUGAACUGAGUUCCAAUCCAUUUUCAUGGCCCUAUGUCCUGGACAGGAAGCAGUGAGCAUGUUUCUGUCAAUCAGCAUGGACUGGCACCUUCAGGAGAACUUGGAGAGUGUAUAUAGGGACAGUAAAGUGAGAUUAGAGAGAUAGUUUGUGGAAUGGAGACUUACAACUUUUCAGGAAUGAGAGAAGAAAUUGGAAGGAGAGGAUCUGAAGACAGAAAUCUCAAAACAAACAUCACGUUAAGAUCUGACAGAGUCACUCAAGUAAUCACAAUGUGAAUUUUUUUGAAUCUAGAUGGAAAAAUGUUUGCCUCUUCUGUCUGCUUCAAAAGAUUUAAACAUCAACUGGAAAACACUGAAACACACACAUCCAAGUGAGAGCAUUCAGGUUACGCAGCCUGGGAAAAUAUCACACCAUUCGCAGUGACGAGAGACUGUACACAUGUUCUGUGUACAGGAUGAGACUUCAACUGAUCAUCAAAACUGGAAGGACAAAAGGCCACUUGCAUCAGGGAGAAAUUGUGGAAGUUUUGGGACUGUGGGAAGAGCUUCAAAGCCCCAUAUGAGCUGGAAAUUAAUUGACACAGCCACACAGGAGAGGCCAUUCACCGGCUCUGUGUGUGGGAAGGGAUUCACUCAGUUAUCCCACUUGCUGACACACCAGAGAGUAAUUUGUGAGAAACUGUUCCAACUCAAGAGAACAUCAAGAGCUAGACGCCAUAGAUUCAAAUUAAUGGACAAAAGAGGAAGUAAUGUGAGGAAAACUUUUUCACCCAGAGGGUGAUUGGAGUCUGGAAUGAACUUUCUGAAAGAGUGGCGGGGGUAGGUUCGAUCAAGGUAUUUAAAAGGAAAUUGGAUUGUUAUUUGAAAAGAGAGAAUUUGCAAGGUUACGGGGAUAAGGCAGGGGAAAGAGUUUAGGUAGAAUGGUCUACAUCAGUAUUUAUGCUCCACAUGAGCUUCCACCCACCCCUCUUCACUCCCUCAUCAGCAUAUCCUUCUAUUUGUUUCUCCCUCAUUUAUGUAUCUAGUUUCCCCUUAAAUGUAUUCAUGUUAUUCACCUCAACCACUUGCUGUGGUAGUGAAUUCCAUUCUCACUACUCGCUGGAUGAAGAGGUUUCUCAAUAAAGCUCUAUUGGAUUAUUGAACCUCUUCAUAAUCUUAAAGACUUCCAUCAGGUCACCCUUCAGUCUUCUCUUUUCUGGAGAAAACCAGCCCUGAAGAAAAUGCUCUCAGUUCUGGUAUUAUUAUCCUGACUUUUUGUUGCCCCCUCUCCAGUGCUUCUAUUUCCUUUUUCUAAAGGGAGAUCAUUAAUGUUGACAGUACUCUCAGUGUAGUCUAACCAUGGUUCUAAACAAGUUGAACAUACCCUCCCUGCUUUUCAAUUAUAUCCCUCUAGAAUAGAACCCUCUAUAUGGGCCCCACAUUUAAGGAAAGAUUUGAAAUUCUUUGAGAGGCUGGAAACAGGAUUAAGAGGAAUGGCACCAGAGAUGAGGGUCUUCAGUUAGUUGGAGAGACUGAAGCAGCUGAAAUUCCUCUGUCUAGACCAUAGAGUCAUUAGGGUAAGGAAUGGGGCAUUUCGGCCAAUCAAUUGCAAACCAGCUCUCUGGAGCAAACCAAUUAGUCCCAUUGCCCUAUUCCAUCCCCACAUCCCUGUAGGUUUAUUUGUCCACUCAAUUUCCUUUUGAAAUCAAUCCAUCAUCUCCACUUCCAUCAACCUCAUUAGAAGCAGAUUCCAGGCCAUUCCCACUCACUUUAAAUGCCCAUGAGGCUCAUCGACCAAAGGAGGCCAUUAGGCCCAUCAUGUUCAUGCUGGCUCUUUACAGAACUACCCAAUUAAUCCAGUCGCCCUGCAGUUUUAUUUUCCUUUCAAGAAUUUGUCCAGGACCCUUUUUAAAGUUGGAAUCAAUUCUGCUUCUCACACUGUUUUCAGGCAGUGCAUUCCAAAUCACAACAACUCGCUGUGUUUUAAAACAAAUAAUCCAGGAUAUAGUGUGUUUGAAGUUUUACAUAAUAUUCAAGAUGGUAUCAAAGACAUGGUUAUUACACAAUGUUCAGACUAAUCUUUAUCGAUGAUUUUGAUGAAGGGAUUGUGUGUAAUAUAUCAAAGUUUAUGGACAAUUAGAAAAAAUUGCAUUUCUAUAGCACCUCUCAACCACAGGAUUUCCUAAAGCAGUUUACAGCCAAUGAAAUACUUUUGAAGUGUCAUCGCUGUUGUAAUGUGGGAAACUGUAGGUAGGCCUGGGUAGUUAAAAUUUUGUUUUAAAAAUCAAACUUUCAUACUGUAUUCACUGUUAUAAGUAACAAAGUCAAGAAACCAUUAGCAUGUGGCUUCUUGCAGCCUUUUUGCAUUCUGUAACUUUUCUUUAUUAAUUAUAUAUUGAUUUUGUAUUAGAAGCCAGUCAUGAAAUAGAUGAUUAUUCAGUAGUGAACCUUGAAUAAUUUAUCAUUAGUGAAUCAAAGUAUUAUUGUAAAAGCUGGAUCUGUAUUUUAAAAAUGAGUGCUGUACAUUUCUCAAAAAUGCAGUGCUAGCAGAAAUUGUUUAAACAAAUAAACUCUUUUCUAAUUUUGAUAAGCUUCAGGACAUCAUAUUCUGUCAAAGUCCAGCUCAAGAAUAAGGCUCAUUGUUCAAUCUGAUCAAGAUCAGUGAGAAAGAAAGCUAUUGUCUUUCACAAACUGUCUCUUUGAACCAGUCUAUCUUGUAUUAAUCAAAUGUAUUAAUUAAAGAUUGCUGUAUUCAUUAACGACCAGUCAGUAACAGAGGAUUAAAUAAAGUCGUGAGCCUUAAUUGAGUUAAAAUUAA